rnacentral:rRNA from 1 species
AUACGUAAGUCCCAAGCGUUACCCGGAAUUAUUGGGUGUAAAGGGUCCGUAGGCGGAUUUAUAAGUCAGAUAUGAAAGACCGGAGCUCAACUCCGCGUUUGUAUUUGAAACUGUAAAUCUAGAAUUAGGGAGAGGUAAGCGGAAUUCUUAGUGUAGGGGUGCAAUCCGUAGAUACUAAGAAGAACACCAAAAGCGAAGGCAGCUUACUGGAACUAUAUUGACGCUGAGGGACGAAAGCGUGGGGAGCGAAGAGGAUUAGAAACCCUUGUAGUCC